AUCCAAACCCUGCGCUGAGCCCCACCGCAAAGGGGCUGAGAUGUGUUGGAGACCCCCCCCCUUAAGCAGCACCAAAAGGGUUUUGCAGCACAGAGGAGAAGCAAAGCAGGACAGCACAGAGCAGGGGCACAGCAUGGGUGUACACGUGGGGACGCACAGCCAUCACUCGGCUCCUUUGCUCUCUGCCCACACCCUGCAGCCCAAACCUUCUCCUCCCCCCCUCCAGAAGUUCCCCUCCUUUCUCCUGCAUUAUUUCCCUGCCAUUUCAGCCCCGUUCUCUCCGCUUCUGCUGGAGGUCUGAGGGCGCUCAGGUGGAUCCUGACGGGCCACGCUCCGCUGCCUCCAUCCCUGCAAGACGUGAGGAUGGAGCUGAUGGCUGCGGGUGGGGAUGCCGCCCUGCAGCUGUCUGAAACACGAAGCAAAUCCCUUCCUCCCCAUUGCACAACUCACUCCUGGACAGGGUUUGUAUGCGAAGCAGUGUGGGAUUAUUCAUCCACCCCCUCCCUGUGUUCGUGCCCUUCCCUGGGCGCAUCAACCUUCCCCAGGCAUUUAAAUGGGGGGAGAUGCUCUGAGCUCCAUCCACGUCCCCACGAUGGGAGGAGGAGACGCUCUGCCCCACACCAUGGAGUGCACGGGGGAUAUGGGGUAUAAUGGGAGGGUAUGGGGUAUAAUAGGAGGGUAUGGGGUGUCCCGGGGAUGCGGGUAGCAGCCACUCAAUGCUUUGGAAUCGUUCCCACACGUGCAGCCCUGGGGGACCGGGAGGGUUUGGGUCGGCUCCAUCCGCUCUGUGCUCCCCCAGGGGCUGCAGGGCUGAUCCCCUCUAAUCCCACACUGGCUCAGUGCCCGGGCUCAGCGCCUUCCCACCACCCCAUCCCCUCGGAUUAUUGGUGCCCGUUGCCUUCAUAAGGGGCAGAAAGGAGCCUGGGCUCAUCCUGGGGCUGCGGUCACCGCCUGAGCUCCGUGGGGACGAUGAAGCCGUACGCAGUGCUGCUGCUGGCGGGGCUGGCCUGCUGCCUGGCUGCGGGCUUGCCCGUCAAUGAGACGCCGGCCGUGGGGCAAGACGCGAAGGUGAGCGGCAGAGCUGCCGAAGGAGCGCUGGUGGAUUUGGCUGACGUGGUGGAGAGCCUCCUGCGCUCCCUGGGGGACACCCUGGCCGGGGCAGUCCGACUGCUGAUAGGGGGAAAAGAGAAAUAGCUGGCGUGGUGAGCGCCGAACUGCCCUGCUGGGGACGUGGGG
ensembl:lncRNA